rnacentral:lncRNA from 1 species
AACAUAACUUGAGAGUGGGAGUUUAGAGUAGGCUGAAGAUUAUAAUAACAUAUGAUCAUAUUUAUUUACUUGGAUGCAUAACUUGAUUUGUGUAUAGGAUAGAGAUAUAUUUAUAUGUCGUAUGUAGCUAAUAUUAAAGCUUGAACUUAAUAAGUCUAUUUGAAUUUCAAUUCACAUAGGGGUAUAGUGUUUUAAUUAAGAUAGAUAUUUUUAUAAGAGUUUCGAGAGAGCCUUAUAAAUAAUUGAGGACUCUAAGUUAGCAAUUUAACCCAUUGAAAUAAGUCAAGAGAGAGAGGUAAGAUUUAGAUUAAAUGUGAGGGAUAUUGUAAUCUUAGGC